rnacentral:rRNA from 1 species
CACCCUGUGUGCUAUGUUUUCUGUUUCUCGUGGUUCGAGUGUAUAUUUUUUAUAAUGAAAAAUAUGCCUGCCUUUGGCUUUGAUGAGAUUUGUUUCUUGUUGGCCGAGUGGCUGUUCCACGGAAGGGAUCUAGGAGUGUUAAGUUCUUUGGAGUUUUCACUUUGAGAUCCUGUCAAAGAGCUUUUGAAUUGUUGACUUCUUUUUAUAAGUGUUUCUGAUUGAUGACUCUGCUUAAUUGUGUUGAGUUUCUUUGGGACCUUUGAAUAGAUAUCCAUUGAGAGGGCUCUUUAAUCAACCUAAUAAAGUAUUUUUAUAUGUCUUAUUUUUUCACAUUUUUAAUGUGUAAAUUUUAUAACAACUUUUGACAACGGAUCUCUUGGCUCUCGCAACGAUGAAGAACGCAGCGAAAUGCGAUAUGUAAUGUGAAUUGCAGAAUUCAGUGAAUCAUCGAAUCUUUGAACGCACAUUGCGCUCCUUGGUAUUCCGGGGAGCACACCUGUUUGAGUAUCAAUAGUCUCUCACCUCCCCUAUGUUUGAACAUUGGGGAAUUGGUGGAUUUGGAUGUUCUGUUUGUAUUUUAUACGAACAGUCAUCUUAAUUUAAAUGUCAGAAGCCUCUUUUAAAGAGAGUUUGCUUGUUUGAAUUGAAACAAUGAGCCUUGUGCACUUGAGUCUUUAAACAGCACUUUUUUUGAAUUAGUGUCUUUUGAUCCCUUUAUUAUACAUUCAGUCAGAACUUGUCUCUGAUUGUUUGAACACUUGGUCUCAAAUCAGGUGAGAAAACCCGCUGAACUUAAGCAUAUCAAUAAGCGGAGGAAAAGAAACUAACAAGGAUUCCCCUAGUAACGGCGAGUGAAGCGGGAAGAGCUCAAAUUUGAAAUCUCACAGGGUCACCUGUGCGAAUUGUAGUUUAUAGAAACGUUUUCUGGGGUGACACGAGCAUAAGUCCUUUGGAAUGAGGCAUCAUAGAGGGUGAGAAUCCCGUCUUUGGUUCGUUGUCUACUCCUAUGUGAUACGUUUUCAAAGAGUCGGUUUGUUUGGGAAUGCAGACCAAAAUGGGUGGUAAAUACCAUCUAAAGCUAAAUACUGGCGAGAGACCGAUAGCGAACAAGUACCGUGAGGGAAAGAUGAAAAGAACUUUGAAAAGAGAGUUAAACAGUACGUGAAAUUGUCUAAAGGGAAACGCUUGAAACCAGUAUUGCUGGCAGUUGAUCAACUAUGCAUUUAUGUGUAGUGCACUCUUCUGUUGGCGGGUCAACAUCAGUUUGGUUCGGGGUAAAAAGCCAAUUGAAGGUUGCUUGGGGUUCGCCUCAAGCGUUAUAGCUUUUGGUCCUGCCUUGGACUGGACUGAGGAUCGCAGCGUUAAUUUGGGGUGCUGGCCGCCUCUUGAAACUUCUUUGUCGACAGCCAGCUAACUUUGAGGAAAUGUAGGGAGCUCGGCUAGUUUUCCA